UACGAAGGGGGCUAGCGUUGUUCGGAAUUACUGGGCGUAAAGCGCGCGCAGGCGGCCAAUCAAGUCAGUGGUGAAAGCCCGGAGCUCAACUCCGGAACUGCCAUUGAAACUGUUUAGCUUGAGGAUGAGAGAGGUGAGUGGAAUUCCCAGUGUAGAGGUGAAAUUCGUAGAUAUUGGGAAGAACACCGGUGGCGAAGGCGGCUCACUGGCUCAUUACUGACGCUCAGGCGCGAUAGCGUGGGGAUCAAACAGG
rnacentral:rRNA from 1 species